CCUACGGGAGGCAGCAGUGGGGAAUAUUGCACAAUGGGCGCAAGCCUGAUGCAGCCAUGCCGCGUGUGUGAAGAAGGCCUUCGGGUUGUAAAGCACUUUCAGCGGGGAGGAAGGCGGUGAGGUUAAUAACCUCAUCGAUUGACGUUACCCGCAGAAGAAGCACCGGCUAACUCCGUGCCAGCAGCCGCGGUAAUACGGAGGGUGCAAGCGUUAAUCGGAAUUACUGGGCGUAAAGCGCACGCAGGCGGUCUGUCAAGUCGGAUGUGAAAGCCCCGGGCUCAACCUGGGAACUGCAUUCGAAACUGGCAGGCUAGAGUCUUGUAGAGGGGGGUAGAAUUCCAGGUGUAGCGGUGAAAUGCGUAGAGAUCUGGAGGAAUACCGGUGGCGAAGGCGGUCCCCUGGACAAAGACUGACGCUCAGGUGCGAAAGCGUGGGGAGCAAACAGGAUUAGAUACCCCUGUAGUC
rnacentral:rRNA from 1 species